rnacentral:rRNA from 1 species
CUAGCCCUAAACGAUGUAUGCUUGGUGUCUGGAGUUUUAAAUCUCUGGGUGCCGCCGCUAACGCUUUUAGCAUACCGCCUGGGGAGUACGCACGCAAGUGUGAAACUCAAAGGAAUUGACGGGGACCCGCACAAGCGGUGGAGCAUGUGGUUUAAUUCGACGCAACGCGAAGAACCUUACCUGGACUAGAAUGUGAGGGAAUGUCAUCUAAUAGUGGCAGUUUGAGCAAUCAAACCCGAAACAAGGUGC